UGAAGACCAAGGCAGCCUAGGACAAUAGC
rnacentral:piRNA from 1 species